rnacentral:ribozyme from 12 species
AAUAUUAAAUAUUACGCCUCCCAUCUUUUAAUGCAAUUUUUUAAUCCAUUAUCAUCCUUCGUUUUUAUUUCUCUCUCUCUUUCUCUCCUCUCGUGCAAAG